rnacentral:rRNA from 1 species
GGAAAAGCUCAAAUUUAAAAUCUGGCAGUCUUUGAUUGUCCGAGUUGUAAUCUAGAGAAGUGAUGCCCGCGCUGGACCGUGUACAAGUCUCCUGGAAUGGAGCGUCAUAGAGGGUGAGAAUCCCGUCUCUGACACGGACUACCAGGGCUUUGUGGUAUGCUCUCAAAGAGUCGAGUUGUUUGGGAAUGCAGCUCUAAAUGGGUGGUAAAUUCCAUCUAAAGCUAAAUAUUGGCGAGAGACCGAUAGCGAACAAGUACCGUGAGGGAAAGAUGAAAAGAACUUUGGAAAGAGAGUUAAACAGUACGUGAAAUUGCUGAAAGGGAAACGCUUGAAGUCAGUCACGUUGGCUAGGAAUCAGCCUCACUUCUGUGUGGUGUACUUUCUGGUUGAUGGGUCAGCAUCAAUUUUGACCACUGGAAAAAGACUUGGGGAAUGUGGCAGCUCCGGCUGUGUUAUAGCCCUUUGUCACAUACAGUGGUUGGGAUUGAGGAACUCAGCACGCCGCAAGGCCGGGUUUCGACCACGUUCGUGCUUAGGAUGCUGGCAUAAUGGCUUUAAGCGACCCGUCUUGAAACACGGACCAAGGAGUCUAACAUGCCUGCGAGUGUUUGGGUGGAAAACCCGGGCGCGUAAUGAAAGUGAAAGUUGAGAUCCCUGUCGUGGGGAGCAUCGACGCCCGGACCUGAACUUUUGUGACGGAUCCGCGGUAGAGCAUGUAUGUUGGGACCCGAAAGAUGGUGAACUAUGCCUGAAUAGGGUGAAGCCAGAGGAAACUCUGGUGGAGGCUCGUAGCGAUUCUGACGUGCAAAUCGAUCGUCAAAUUUGGGUAUAGGGGCGAAAGACUAAUCGAACCAUCUAGUAGCU